GGAAGUGUAUCGAAGAGGUCAUAACGAGCUGCACUCGAAAUGCAGUAGCCUAUUUGGGCACGUGGGUUCGAAUCCCACCGCUUCCG
rnacentral:tRNA from 1 species